rnacentral:lncRNA from 1 species
CUUAACAAAAAGAAAAAUAAUCCAAACAAUGUCAAUCAGCACCUUCCACCAUCACUGCUUCAUGACAAUUGACAUCAAGCUCCCAAUAAUACAACCAUCUUCCAAGCAACGGAGAUGACUUCAUCGGUUGUGAUAGCGAUGAUAAUGGUGGCUGCUAAGGGGGGUGGUGAAUGGUGAUGGGGCUGAUAUUAGUAAAAAGCAGUUUAGGGGUUGGUGGUGGGAAAAAUAGGGCGUAUAAAAAUUGGAAUUUAUUAUUAAUUGGGUGAAUUUUGUUAAAGGCUUGAUAAAAAUGGAUAAUUAUGAUUGAAAAAUGAUGAGGGUAUAUUCGAAUUUUUAACAAAAGUAGGUGUUUUGCAUAAUUAAACCAAAAUUUAAUGGGUUUUUUCAUCUUGAAGAAACGGUCACAAAUAGCACUGAUCGAAGAUUCAAAACAUUUAGCAAUGAUUUUUCCUUUGUUUUCUUUAACUUUUUCUUUUUAUGCUGCACAUUUCAGCACAUAUCCCACAUUUAAUUGGGUAUAUUACAUAAUGUGCAUAUGUUACUACUUAGUCUGGUGUUACAUAACAUUAAUUUUUGUAAAACCAAGUCCAUGUUGUAGUGAAUAAUUUGAAUAAUACUAUGUUCCAUUUGCUCGAAUUUCGGUCAACCAAUUUUGUAGAAAGCUUUUUCAAAGGAAAAAAAACUACAGAAAAACGAGGGAGUUGGGGCUGAUUCCAUCUUAGUUUAGAGUCCACAAAACAUGUGUGGAUAUCAUUUGCUAUAUAUGCUCUCUUAUCUUCUUUCCAUCAUAUGGUCUUAAAUUGACUUGACAGAAUCAUCAAUCUAUUCGCUUCAAUUUUCAUCUAAAUUUUUUAAUGGCACUUUCUCUUUAUAUGCUGUAGAUAAAGCAUUGAACAGAAAUGGCAACUGCAGCAUAUCACGGAUCGUUGCUACCUUCAGUUGCUCGUCUACGUCAAAAUCUAUCAUUUUACAGUUCAUCGAGUAGUUCAGUGGCAAUCGAAAAGAAGGGAUCGUCCAAAGGAAGAGGCAGGCGCCUGGCAGUGGUGAGAUGUAACAUAGGAAUAGAGGACUUCAUUGGAGGAGAUCUUGUAAAGUUUGAUUUGGGACAGUGGUUGUUAGACGUCGAAGAGCACAAAGCUUUGGCUAUCUACUCACCACACGAAGGUGGGUACGAGGGCCGGUACCUUAACCAGCUUCGGUACCAAGGCUACCACUUCUUGGACCUCUCAGCCCGUGGCCUUGGUGAUCCUGAAGCCACUCUCACCAAGUUUCACCCUGUUUGUCCUGUAAGCAAUUGAAACGUGUAACCGAAGUAUGAUAUUCUUAUGAGUAAUGUUAUUCAUAGUCAACGACUGCAAUAGUCGAUAUAUGUGACAUCUUGAUAUUGGAGGCAUUAACUUUUUAUUUAAGGAAUCAAAAUUGCAGAAAUUAACGUCUCAAAUAACAAAGUUGAUAUAUAGGAUGUCACGUAAGGUGACUACUGUAUUCGCUGAUUACAAAUAGCAUUAUUUUAUUCUAAUAGUAUGUAGAAUUAAUACACCAUUAGUAUAUUUCAGGCUCACGUAGGGAAACAGCCGAUAGCCAGAUGGUAUUUCCCACCAGAAGUUGAUUACAGGCUCUCUCUGCUUCCACCAAACGCCAAAGGACUAGCGGUUUGGAUCAUUGAAGCGAAGGUAACGAUAACUUUGAUUAAUUUUGUACCUCUUCACUUGGUUAAAAAUGCACGAUUUGUCCAAUGUUGUUAAGUUUUGUAAAUUCGACAUUUGCCAGGUUUUGUCGAAGGCAGAAUUGCAGUUUCUUGCAUUACUUCCCUCACUAAGGCCUAGAGUGAGGGUGAUAGCAGAAUGUGGAAACUGGUAUAAUAUCUAUUCUUUUUUUGUUUUUAUACAUUGAGACUUAACAUUUACCUUCUAAUCAUUUUAAGAAUCACUUAAUCAAAUUCAUAUAUUUGCAGGAGAAAAUUUAUGUGGAAACCACUCAAAGAAAUUGCAGGACUGCCAGCAAAUUGAUGAUCUUCUAUUCGAAAUGAUUAAAUGACAGCCAAGAAUGCAACAGAUGGAAAAAUACCUUCAGCCCCUCGCUUGUCCAGGUACCACAGAGCAGUUUUUCGCAUCACGAUUUGUAUAACUUGUAAAUUAUAUUAUUGAGAGAAUAUAUGGUAAAAAAUGAAAAGAAAAAAAAAAUUGUACCAAAUUUAGAUUUAAUUUUUUUUUUCACUCGAUGAAUUUAGUUGGUGAGUCCAAAGAAAAAGCAAUGUUGGUGUUUGAAAAAUGGGAAAUUUUCCCCUACAGAAGAAUUUCAGAUACUCACAUGGGGAGAUGUGAGUAAAAUAAUUCAAAAAAUAACCCACCCACCCCAUGUUGUGUGUACUCUGUAAGGUAUCUGUAAAAAAUUGUUCUAUACAUGUUGUAGAACUCUUGAAAAAUAACAGAGCUAUUGAAAAUAUGAAAACUUCGAUUUUGAAUUUAAGUGGGGAUAGGUUGAAUUUUUAAUUGAUUUACGUUUUUUUUUUAAUUUAAAGGACCACAAUGUGAAAUAUAUAUUAAUAUAAAUUAAAGAGGAGCUUAUGAAUCUUACUAUUGUCGGUUUCAUUUCGAGUGAAUGUCGAUAACAAGUAAUAUAAUAAUGAAUAGAGGAUUGAACACUAAAGGAGCAAUAUCUAUCUAUUUUAUGAAUAUUUACAAUCAGAGGACAAAUCAAAAAACACGUUAAUUGAUGAAUAUUUACAAUUUUAUAAAAUAAAAUUAAAAAAACAAUUGAUUUGUAAAUCAUAAAUGAAUGAAAAAUAAUUAAAUUGACAAUAAAAUCAUUGAUUUUUAAGAAAUGUAAAAAAUAAUUUUAAAAAAUACAAAUUUAUAGUUUAAUUGUAAUGGCUACCAAUAGAAAAGUUUUCUCUCGAUUGGAAUCCGUUUCGAACUUCAAUGUCAUCCGAUUACUAGUUGGUAUUUAGAUUGCAGAAGCUGUGUCCCCAUCCCAGAGCUCCACUGGGAACCGAUAGAGUAUGCAUCCCACAGUUCAAUGACAUAUCGUCGAAAGAAUUAGGCUGGCGGUGGACAAAUUGUCAAUAAAAUCACUUACAAAAUCGGACAAAAAAAUAGUGCUAUCAAGCACCAUUAUAAUAUCAAUACAGGUGAUGUUAUGUGGUAGUUGUAUUUUUCAUUUAAUUCCAUUUAAAUUGAUGUUAUAACACUUGCAUUGCUAAAUUGCAUUACUCCAAACCAUAUUCAUAUAUAUCAUGAAACAGGAGUGUUUCGCGCGGGUUAGUCGCUAACAAUUAAAAAGGGAUAAGACGAUUGUGUAAGGGACAAACCUUUUAAGACAAAGUCCCAAAAAUGGGCUUUUUUAUUGGCGAUGAUUUUACAAUUGGGAAGCAAAAACAGAAUGCCUCCAAGGGGUGCAAGCACACGAGUUACUGUAAAAGAAGUGUUUAAAUCUAAACUAAGAAAUUGAAAGUUACAUAUUCUCUGUUUGAGAGUGUUUGAUUCAGAGUUUUUGCUCUAUGUCUUUUCUUCCUUUUAUACUCCCUGGGUGAUUUCUUCGUGAUCAACUGCUUGAUCGCUCUAUAACUGCUCAUUUUACUUGUAGUGGCCAACUUGUCAUGGAACUGCAUUCUUUAACUGCCGUCACUACUUUUGUCGUUCAACCAUCUUCAAUUGAAUUCCUUGAAUCGUGGAUCGUGAUAGGACUACCCAAUAACUGCUUCAUUAACUGCACUUUUGGGUAACCAUAACUUCUUAUGUUUGCUAAGAUGUUGGGCGACUUGAAUAUUUGGACGAGAGCAGAGUCACAGCUCUGGACGACUGCAUGGCAAUUCAUUCGCUUAAAUCUUGGGCGACUUGCAACCUUGGACGAUGGUAUUUCCGUAUUCAUGGUCUUCCUUAUUUGGGUCUUUAUCCUGCAUUGCCUGACUGGAUCGUUCUUUGGGCUAUUUGAUUUUAGGAAUCUUCCAAUUGGGCUUCAUUCCUUGGGCUAUUCAAGUUGGGCUGAACUUUUUGUGUGUCAACAAUUACCCCCCAAUAUGGCUGAAUUAAUAUCAAUUAUUGAUUUUUGCCAUAUUCACUUUGUGUUUCCCAGCAACAUUCGAAAUUUCCAAGAAUUUCAAUCAUUGUUUUCUUCCAUAGCCUGAAAAGGUGCGACGUUUGCAAACCCUUAUAACCCCCAAAUACGCUAUUUCAUUGCACCACUAAAUCACGCCUCAUUUUUUCGCGCCUUUCUCUUGCACUAUUACUGUUCAUCUCCUUACUUCUCUGUUACGUAACUCUGCAGAACUCUAUUUCGUCCCUAAUGGCUGCUUCACAAUCUUAGUCUGGUGACUCCUUUAGUUUCAAAGACUUUUAGAAACUCCUUACUCGGCCAUAUGUAACUCCGAACUUUCUUGCACCGGCCAAUGUCAAACUCAAUGAGUUCUAUCUAGGUCCUUCAUUCAACAAUGCCGAGGCCAUCGAGCAAGCGAAUAUCGGUCAGCUGUUUCCUUGUACUCAUGGCCCUCCGUUUCUAAAAUCUUUGCCGCUAGGGCCACUCCGCGAAAGAGGUAUUCACACUUGACCUAAAUCUGAUGUUGUUUUUCGUAGAUGGCAUACUCGCCUUGUGGACCAUGGUCUUACUAAGGUAAUUUUUGAUAAUGCUAGGAUUUCUGAUUUGUUAGAAAUCUCUCUUCAACCACCUAUUUUUGACCCAGUACUUUUUCCAAUCGCUUUAAGUUUUUGGUCUUCUGAGUAUAAUACCUUUAUUUUUCCUCUUGGUCCCAUGUCCAUUACCUUAAGGGAUAUUAGGGCCCUAGUAAAUCUGCCACCUUUGGGCGAUACCAUUUUCCCUGGUAUCCUGAUUUCUGGUGCCGCUCCAAAAUUUGGUAAAGGCCUUACCGAGUCUUAUUCAAGUCUGCAAACCCUUCAUAACCACUCGAGCGCUGAGCCUUCCCAUACUGAGCGAGUGGCCUUUCUUUUAAUUUAGCUUUGUAAAUACAUUUUGUGUGUGCUAAGCAUAAAGCCCUCCCUGAGCUAUUUACCCAUAGCGCACGAAUUAGCGCGUGGUAGGCCUCUGAAUUUAUGUUCUUUCUUUUUAGCUCCCCUCUAUAGAGGCAUGACUUCUCUUCAAUCCCAAUUGAAGAAUGGUGCAUCUCCCACUGGUAGUGGACCUCUUUGGUUCGCUCAAAUGUGGUUGAGAGUUUAUUUUCCAUCGCUUGGUGCUCCAUCUUUUUUCAGCCCUUCUGCUAGCUGUUACGGGCUAGCCAUUGAGCCCCUGGCUCCUAUAAAUGUGUCCAGAAUGGACAUUUUUUCAUUCUUUUAUACUUUGGAUUCAAUCCUUUCCUUCUUUCCUUUUCCUCCCUUUUUGACUCCAGAUUAUGUGCAACCCCCAUCCACUCUGGAUAAUGCGAACACUUCCUUGUUUAUUUGGAUUCAGUUUUUGACCGGGAGGGAGUUGUUCCAUGAUAUUUUGACUAGGACUAAUGCCAAGGCUGGGGUAGAGAUAUAUACUCCUUAAUUUUUUGCUCGCCAACUUGGUUUUGGCCAAACUUGGCCCGUUCCUCCUUGCUAUUUAAGGAAUUUGAUAGACCGCUUCCACACUAUUAAUAAAACAGAAGCGGAGGCUAUAAAUGCUCGCAACCUUCUUUUGACAAGUAACUUCUCACUAGCCCCCUUCAAUCCUAGCCGUGUCAUCCAUCCUCUUUUUGAACGACUCUAGCCGUCAGUGAAACGUAGAUUGUUCGCGACUGAUGCCAAUCAUGUUUUCCAUUCACUAGACCAGCCAAACAUUUCUUCCACCCCUCCUGUUUUGGUCACUCCUGUGUCCAUUAGAAGUCCCUCUUCUUCUGCUCAUGCUAAACAAUCUGCCCGUCCAUCGACUUCUCUUCCUGCCAAGCCCACUACAGCUAAAAGUGCCCCAAGCUGCAAACGGACAGUUUCAGCGUCUUCCAUUUUGGAAGAUGAUGCUGAUGAUGAUGAUGAUACCCCUCUCAUCGUCAGGAGGAAGGUAAUUAAACGCGGUUUACUCAUAAGCAUAACUUUCUAUACUUGAGGUUUUUCCAUGUGCUGAUAAUUUAUUUGGACCUCUCAGAAAAGUUCAAUCUCUCCUUAGAAGGCUUUGGUAUUGGCAGCUCCUGCUCCAUCAUCCUCUGCUGAGGCUGAUUCGUCCAAACCUGCUGAUGAAGGGGCUAUGCUUAAAGAGAAACCUUCAGUCCCAGAAUUUUCAUCACAACCAAUGGACGAGCCACUUUCUUCCCAGGGCGUUGACCCCCAAACGUCGAAGCAGAAGGUAAUUCGUUUUUUGAUGCUUUACCUUUGCUUGUGCUAUUGGUGUUGACUUGUUGUCUUUUGAGUUCUGCAGAUGUUCUCAUGAGUUUGCCCGUUGCGGCAAGGUCUUCUCGCUUAGACAAGGGGAAGUCCUCACAAAUGGUGGAGCUAGAGGUGGCAGAUUUGGCUGGAGAUAUGCUACCUUCCAAGAUUGCUGAUGAGGUAAUCUUUGCUUUACCUUUACCUUCACUUUGUUUAGUGUAGUGAAAACCUUCAAUAUUGGCGAUUUUCUUUGUAGGAUGCUGAUAAAAUUGUGCGUUCCAUUCAAGACUUGUUGGCUUCCUGGGGACAAGUCAAAACAUCUCGCCCUACUUCAGCCAAUUGUCCUUCUGCUUCUUCAAAGGAUGAUAUGAAGUUCCUCAAGCAGUCGAUAUUUGAGUAUGUGUCCUUCAUGGAUAUGGACAUCGGUAAGGCUAGUACUGCUAGGCAUAAGGAUAAGCUUAGCAUUUGAAUGCAAAAAUGGAGCAAGCGCUGAUACUUCCGUCGCUCAAUCUUUCUGUUGAUUUUAAAGCGACGUUGAAAGUUAUCUAUUCCGUAGUCUUCUCCUUGCUGGCCAAGAAUGUUGAACUGAAGGCCAAAAAUACUCAAUAUCUUCACACCGUAUCUGAAAAAGAGUCUUUGCUUCUGGAGAUCAACAAAGCUGAGGAUGAGUUGAAAGAAAUCUCUUCUGAAAUCAUGAUUGAAGACUCUUUGAUGACUAGUUUGGCUGCUCAGAUGAAGGAGCUUCAAGCCAAGAUGGAUGACUGCAAGGCGAGAAUGGCUGCUAAAAAGCAUAAUGCCUCCCAAGGAAUUGAGCGAGCUAAGUCUUUGGUCGAGUAGUACAAGAAGUUGGAAGUUGAUGAUGAUGUUGUGGCUGAAUUGAACAUCACUUCUUCUCGAUAGAACGAAGACUGGGGGAAGCUUAGGGAAAGAAUUCGCUCGGUAUGGGGCGAAUUGUAAUUAGGACGUAUAUUACCUUAACUUUUCUUUUUGUAAUUUCGCAUUUGACUUUCCCUUUGUAACCUUGUACUGAUAUAACAGGAGCCAUCAUUGUCAAUGAAUAAUUAUUUUAGAUUUUUGUGCAUUUAUUGACGUUCAUCUUUUAAUCGUCAAUCGUUCAGGCAUUUAACUGCUUUACAUUUUCUUUUGAUAUUUCUGCCCGAUUUUGGGCCAUUUAACCCCAUUUACUAGACACGAAUAUGGCUGCUCAUAUUCCUUCUUUUCACCUUCACCCCUUAUAAAUGCACAUCACAUUCUGUCUUUUCACCUU